AAGAGACAGCAGUAGCCACGGGAAUACGAAGGGUGCAAGCGUUACUCGGAAUUACUGGGCGUAAAGCGUGCGUAGGUGGUGGUUUAAGUCCGUAGUGAAAGCCCUGGGCUCAACCUGGGAAUUGCAGUGGAUACUGGAUCACUAGAGUGUGGUAGAGGAUAGUGGAAUUUCCGGUGUAGCAGUGAAAUGCGUAGAGAUCGGAAGGAACAUCUGUGGCGAAGGCGACUAUCUGGGCCAACACUGACACUGAGGCACGAAAGCGUGGGGAGCAAACAGGAUUAGAUACCCCUGUAGUCCCUGUCUCUUAUAC
rnacentral:rRNA from 1 species